rnacentral:rRNA from 1 species
GGAAUAUUGGACAAUGGGCGCAAGCCUGAUCCAGCCAUGCCGCGUGCAGGAUGACGGUCCUAUGGAUUGUAAACUGCUUUUAUACGAGAAGAAACAACUCUACGUGUAGAGUCUUGACGGUAUCGUAAGAAUAAGGAUCGGCUAACUCCGUGCCAGCAGCCGCGGUAAUACGGAGGAUCCAAGCGUUAUCCGGAAUCAUUGGGUUUAAAGGGUCCGUAGGCGGUCAGAUAAGUCAGUGGUGAAAGCCCAUCGCUCAACGGUGGAACGGCCAUUGAUACUGUCUGACUUGAAUUAUUAGGAAGUAACUAGAAUAUGUAGUGUAGCGGUGAAAUGCUUAGAGAUUACAUGGAAUACCAAUUGCGAAGGCAGGUUACUACUAAUGGAUUGACGCUGAUGGACGAAAGCGUGGGUAGCGAACAGGAUUAGAUACCCUUG